rnacentral:rRNA from 1 species
GAUCAUGGCUCAGGAUGAACGCUGGCGGCGUGCUUAACACAUGCAAGUCGAACGGAACUCCUAUGAUUGAGGUUUCGGCCAAAAGAAUAGGACGUUUAGUGGCGGACGGGUGAGUAACGCGUGAGUAACCUGCCUUGGAGUGGGGAAUAACACAGUGAAAACUGUGCUAAUACCGCAUAAUGCAUUUGGGUCGCAUGAUUCUGAAUGCCAAAGAUUUAUCGCUCUGAGGUGG